rnacentral:rRNA from 1 species
AUUGAACGCUGGCGGCAUGCUUUACACAUGCAAGUCGAACGGUAACAGGCCGCAAGGUGCUGACGAGUGGCGAACGGGUGAGUAAUGCAUCGGAACGUGCCCAGUCGUGGGGGAUAACUGCUCGAAAGAGCAGCUAAUACCGCAUACGAUCUAUGGAUGAAAGCGGGGGACCGUAAGGCCUCGCGCGAUUGGAGCGGCCGAUGUCAGAUUAGGUAGUUGGUGGGGUAAAGGCUCACCAAGCCAACGAUCUGUAGCUGGUCUGAGAGGACGACCAGCCACACUGGGACUGAGACACGGCCCAGACUACUACGGGAGGCAGCAGUGGGGAAUUUUGGACAAUGGGGGCAACCCUGAUCCAGCAAUGCCGCGUGCAGGAAGAAGGCCUUCGGGUUGUAAACUGCUUUUGUACGGAACGAAACGGUCUGGGUUAAUACCCUGGGAGGAUGACGGUACCUGAAGAAUAAGCACCGGCUAACUACGUGCCAGCCGCCGCCGUAACAC